AUCAUGUAGAUCAGCUGGUGGAAGAGAACAGAACAGGACAGUAAGAUACAGGCAAUGAGGGCCGGUGCCCUGACGCUUCUAAGCUCGGGUGGGGAUGGGUGCCAGCUCAGAGCCUACGGCGUGCUGCUUUUUUCCCAGUUAUAAUCGUAAGAGGAGAUUUUUCAUAGCUGGCACACACACAAGUUCCUAUUUGGCAUUUCACAUAUAAGUAAGUCCUCUGCUCUCCCGUCAGUACGUUUAUGAAAAAGACUGGAUGUAUUUAAAAAAUAACAGAGCUGGGUGAGCAGCAUGAGAAAGAUGAGGGUAAGAGCCCUGUUUCCCCUCGUUCUUUCCCACGCUGCCCACUCAGCAGCUGUUAGUCCUGUGCCUGCCUGUUGCUCAGUGAAGAGAACAGGUCACCCCAGUGAUGUAGCCGGUGGUUCUUUCCCUGGCUGGAAGGGGAAGGGAUGACGUCAAGGUUGGAAAAACUGGGAAGGACUCAUUUCCGAGCACAUGAGAUUUCCCCUCUUCUCUACGAGUCUUAGAUUUCUCGACACCACAAACCCAGCCCUCCCAAAUGUUAUACACACACACACACACACACAAACACAAACACACAUACACCUGUGUGGCUGCACCCUCCCUAUGUGUGAAUUUGCCUUGGUGCUAAAAUUUCUCUGUAACUCCCAGGUCAGGACUCAGGGCACUGCCAUGGCCAUUCGGACAUGCAGAGUGGGGGAAAAGCUGAGGCAACCAAGGCACCACUCUGCCUUCUUGUGGCAACUCUCGGGCUGUAAACCAGCGUCCUUUUCAUCCUCUAUUUAGUGCCAUGGAGUUUGCAUUUCUGUGAUUUCGCUCUUUACGCAUUCCCUCACCGGCAUGCUGCAGGGCUGGCUAGGGUCCCUAAGCACAGGAAGGCGGCGAGGGGCCUUACGGAGAAAACACGUGUGUUAAACUUCGUUCAGGUUUGAGUUACAGUGCUGUUCAGCAGUCGGCAAUAUAUACUCAGUAAGAUGUCUUUCUUUAAACAGAAGCAAACUGAUUCUUGCCACAGAAUCCAAAUUGCAUCACCCACCAUGGAUGCCUAGACCACCACCUCGUACUUCCUGCAGUCUAGACAUGGGUACCUCGGAAAUGCUUCUGGACUGAAGCUCCAAUUGGAAACCUGGAAAACCACUGUCCUUCCGCACAGAGAGCGCGGCCCGUGGUGUCUCUCACUGGACCCAGCUCACCUCUGCAGGCACCUCGUCCACUCGGCUGCUGCUGCCCUUUCUGCCGUUAACGCCUAGUUGUUUCUGCCAAGAACAGGAUUUCCUACCAUCCUGGCCAGAAGCACUACUGAAACUGCCUUCUCUCCCUCAGCAGGGAAGUCGGGUCUACAGUGAUGGACAGGAGGCGCCCUGGCCCCUUCUGUGGCCUGCUUAGCUGCUGAGGGUAAGGAUCCCACUCAUUAGAAAAUACGUGUGAACAGGUUUUUUCCAACAGCUGGCUUUGACAGAGUACCUUCUGAUGACUUCAAAAUACACCUGGAUUUUAUGUUAAAGCAAUAUGGUCAUUUAAAAAAGACCUGAUUUAAAGAGGUGAAUGUGCAGAGUAACUGGAUUAUACAAUGCAUGCAAUGUUCUGGAUGGAAAAUUGGAUGGUACAAAACCGAAAAGAAGUUGAAGGAAAAAUAUAUACUCUUUUUAGAGUGGAUAUCCACACGUCUUUUUUGAUUGAACUGCAUUAUAAAAAGUUUCUUUUACUGUACCCUAAAAUGACCCUUUAGAGCCUAACUGCUGUUUCCGUCCAGAAAAUGGAGCACAUUGAGGAAAAGAGUGGAGCACAUUGAGGGAAAGAGUAUAAUAACCUCUUCCAAUAGAAGGGAUGAAAUCCAUCUGGAUGCUUAGAUGCCCAUGUAAAUAACUAAGGCCCAGACACAUGCACAAGAGGAUACCAAUGAAUCGAGGAGACGAAAAGGAAGUACCGUAUUGCCGGAUGUCCACGCAGAUCUGCUCCACCCCGGCUGUCCCGUUGGUCUGGGGGGACUUGAUGACUUCACAGGUUGACCAUAUGUUGUAGAACAUAAACACGGGCACCGCAGAGAAGCCAAACACACCCAGCCAGGCCACUCCCAGCACAUAGGUGAGGAAGACGAACUAGGCCGAAAAGGAGGAGGAGGAGAAAGAAUCGUCACCGACCAGGGCAAAGCACAUCCCCCGGGAGGAGUGAUGACGCAUUUCCUGGCCGAUACCAAACCUGUGGGACGCGGUCAGAGCACCGCCUGGACCACGGCAGUGACAAGGGAAGUCUUGGAACUUUGCGGGUCCCUCUUUUAGCAAGGACGUGAGUGGCCACGAGAGGAUCUCCCUUGUCCAAGGUCACAGAGCUAGUUGGUGACAGGGCCUCCUCCAGGCACUCCUCCUAAACACCACUGGCUGGAGGCUUUCACAGGCCACUGAAUUAUAACUCCGUACCAGUUUCCUAAAUUCCCGCGGGAAGAGGCUUCAUCGUGCUGGCCCACGUGCUGUCAUGGGCGAUUUCACCAGGAACAGGAUCUUACGGCUUUCCUUUCUUCUUGACCUGCUUGGACUACCGCUUUUCAGAGAGCUUUGAAAAGGCUGUUUCAAAAACGCUGUGGGUCUGAUAUUUUCAGAACGCGCACCCACCCGGGCACCCCAACGCCGGGCGGCGUCCUCGGCUCGCCCCCUCCUCGCGCGCUCAACUCCCGUACAGCAGACCCGGAGCCCGCCUCGCCCGCAGGCUUCGCCUCUGUGCCCCCUUCUGUGCUCUCACUCCCCACGAGCCCGGAGUCUCGCGAUCGAUGCCCUCUUGCUCACCUUCCUCCAGUUGCUGCCCCUGUGCGUGGUCCCGUCACAGCCUGCCUGUCUUUCGAUGUCAUUCCCAGCCCGGCAGCCCAAGCCUUUCCUGAUCUGGCCGCGGUCUGCUCUCCGCAGCAGCAUCCCUUCCCUCCUCUGGGCUCCAGCCUCCCCUGCCAGCCAGGCCGCAGCGCCUCUGCUCCGGGGCUGCUCUGCUCAGGCUGGGUCCUCCCCCCCCAUGCCGGGUGCCGCUGCCGCCCUCCCUGGGCGCCCCACCCCGCCACCCCAGCCCUGGGCCCACAGCUCUACUGCUGCUCGCGGGAACGAGCGCAUGCUCUCCCGGCCCCUUCCUACCUGGGCUCCCGUCUGGGCCCAAAGAAGUACGUACACUCUCUGUGCCUCCCUUAAGGAGGAUUUUUAGGAACACUGGGCACUCCGUGUCUUUUAAGACAGGCUCUGCGUCCUUACCUCGUGACAGCAGAGAGCUCAGUCGGUGCCCCCUGGGAGCCGCGGCCCCGCAGCGAGGGUACGUAUCUUCCUUCCUUCCUGCCUGCCUUCCUUAGCCAGCCUGGGCGUUCUGCCUCUGUGGGAGCACGUCUCUCUCAACUCCCCAAGUGUUUUCGUCACAUCCGACCACUUGCUCAAACGCCAGCCAGCUGCUCGGCCCAGGCUAUUACGAGCUGCACUUCAACGCACCCCAAAUCAAACUCCACGAACGCCCCUUUCCCACCUCUCCCUCCACCCCGGACUUUCCUUCUGUGAAACGGCACUUUCUAACCCUGCCUCUUAACGAGCCCCUUUUAGGCUCUGUCCUCCUCUAGACCAGAGGUCAGCAAACAGUGCCUGCAAAAGGCCCGAGAGGGGACGGGUCAGGCUCCGCAGGCCACGUGUGGUCACAGACACUCCUCAGCGCUGCCGUUACAGCAUGACUGCGGCCGCAGACGCCGUGUCAACGAAGGGGUGUGGCGGGGUGCCAAAAAGUCUAUCAUGGACAUCAAGCCUAGAAUGGCAUAGAAUUUCGUGUGUCCUAAGAUACUAUUCCUUUGUUUUUUUCCCCAGCUCAUAGGUGGAUAAAAACAGGUGGCGGACCGGCUCUGGAGCCGGCUUAACCCCCCUCUUUAGGCUCUAAACUUCUGGAGGACAGUCCCCAGCGAGGUGCUUAGUAGGAAGCAUGCUUGGUCAACACUGCCAGAGGGACUGGGACCAUUCAUCAUAGUAUGGGUGAGUCUUCGUGGCCACAAUCCAUAUUCGAAGAUAAAUGAAGGAGAGCAGUGAGACGAUAGGAAAACUAUCUCCUUUCAUAGUGGGGACUUUAUCUUUGAAAAAUCUUCAAUACCCUUGUUAUCUGGACGUUGAUAAGAGAAAUGCUUGAUUUCAUCCUACCAGCCAUAGAUUUUAAUUUCUCCUCAAUAACAUGUUGAGGGUUUUUUCAUAUUCCUGACUCUAAGUUGGAACGGACACUCCUCCCGUCAUGGACUCUGCACGUACUCUGUUAGCUUUUACCAAAUACAAAGAAACACGUGGAGGUGUGGCUCUGGCUGGCUAUCAGUCAUCAGAGAUUCGUACUCACCAUC